CGCAUGCGUGGCAAAGUGGCGUAUAUUCGUCUUGCUUAAUAUGCCUGUAACCCAUCUUUUGCAAUUACGGGAUUCUCACAUCUUUAUCAGUAGACCAGGGCUGUAAAAUGAGCCAUCAAUGCAGAAUGGUCACCACCGAUAACUUCGUGCAUGUCUUUGUUUACUCUCUAGGCCAAGUGAGUUUCAGUUUUAAAUACUACUAUUUACUGCCCCAUCGUUUUUGUCCCCAUUCUCUGUUUCAGCAAGUAGCCACUUAUGUGAUGUAGGUAUUACUAUUUAGUAGUUGUGGAAAGAAGUCGACGAGGGUAUGUUAAAAUGAUUAUUGGAACAAAGAGUGAACAAAUGUUUUCUAUAGAUCAGUAUCCUGGAAAUGAUGGUUUGACCCCCACAAAGCCCUGAUCUCAAUGUCAUCAAGUCUGUCUGGGAUUACAUGAAGAGACAGAAGGAUUUGAGGUAGCCUUCAUCCACAGAAGAUUUGUGGCUAGUUCUCCAAGACGUUUAGAACAACUGACUUCCUGCAAACACUGCGUGCAAGUGUACCUAAAAGAAUUGAUGCUGUUUUAGCAGACAAAGAUGUGCAUUUGGCCUUCUACUGUGUCUUCUGUCCUGAAUGGAUCCAGUUGCAGCAUGUCUCUGGAGAAAUCCUUUGGAGAAAUCCUAAAAUUUCUUGGCUAAAUCUCAUGGAGAAUAACAUUUCUUUCUAGACAUGUA